rnacentral:rRNA from 1 species
UACGGAGGGUGCAAGCGUUAUCCGGAUUCACUGGGUUUAAAGGGUGCGUAGGUGGGCUGGUAAGUCAGUGGUGAAAUCUCCAGGCUUAACUUGGAAACUGCCAUUGAUACUAUCAGUCUUGAAUACCGUGGAGGUCAGCGGAAUAUGUCAUGUAGCGGUGAAAUGCUUAGAUAUGACAUAGAACACCAAUUGCGAAGGCAGCUGGACUACACGAAUAUUGACACUGAUGCACGAAAGCGUGGGGAUCAAACAGG